rnacentral:tRNA from 1 species
GGGGUUGUGGCUCAGAGGCAGAGCGCUCGCCUCACAUGUGAGAGGCACUUGGUUCGAUCCCCUCAGCACCG